rnacentral:lncRNA from 1 species
UAUGGGGCUUUUUUUUUUUUAAAGAUUUAUUUAUUUAUUUAUUUAUUUAUUUAUUUAUUUAUUUAUUAUAUGUAAGUACACUGUAGCUGUCCCCAGACACUCCAGAAGAGGGUGUCAGAUCUCAUUACAGAUGGUUGUGAGCCACCAUGUGGUUGCUGGGAUUUGAACUCCUGACCUUUGGAAGAGCAGUCGGGUGCUCUUACCCACUGAGCCAUCUCACCAGCCCCCCCCCCUUUUUUUUUUUUAAGAAAUAAAAAUGUUAAGGGCUUUUUUUUCUUACUUUUAACAAUAAACACAGGGCUUUUCUUUACAAGCAACAAUGAAAAGGUAGAAGCUUUUUCUUUCAGUGAGCAGUAAAGGGUGGCACUUCUUUUUUAUCCAGAAUGAGUGAGUUUUUUCUGCAUUGGUGCUUGCUCAUUGGAACUUGCUUAUGGAAGCUCUUGCUCCACCCACCAAAUGUAUAUAUGCCUAUGUAAGUAUAGGGGUGUAUAUGUAAACAUGCAUGGAGACUUGGGGAGUUGAUGAAAUAGGUGGUCACGAGCUGGACCAGAGUGUGUGGGUGUGCACAUAUUGCCUGUGUAAAAGAUUGUAAUUCUUUUCCUUUCUUUUCUAUUUGGUUCACAAAAAGUUAAUAAAUCUCACCUGACCAGUG